rnacentral:rRNA from 1 species
ACGGAGGGUGCAAACGUUGCUCGGAAUCACUGGGCAUAAAGCGCACGUAGGCGGCCAACUAAGUCGGGUGUGAAAGCCCCCGGCUCAACCGGGGAAUGGCUCCCGAUACUGGUUGGCUCGAGGACGGUAGGGGUGAGUGGAACUCCAGGUGGAGCGGUGAAAUGCGUAGAUAUAGGAAGGAACACCAGUGGCGAAGGCGACUACCUGGACUGAUACUGACACUGAGGUGCGAAAGCGUGGGGAGCAAACAGGA